rnacentral:rRNA from 1 species
AUUGAACGCUGGCGGCAGGCCUAACACAUGCAAGUCGGACGGUAGCACAGAGAGCUUGCUCUUGGGUGACGAGUGGCGGACGGGUGAGUAAUGUCUGGGGAUCUGCCCGAUAGAGGGGGAUAACCACUGGAAACGGUGGCUAAUACCGCAUAACGUCGCAAGACCAAAGAGGGGGACCUUCGGGCCUCUUACUAUCGGAUGAACCCAGAUGGGAUUAGCUAGUAGGCGGGGUAAUGGCCCACCUAGGCGACGAUCCCUAGCUGGUCUGAGAGGAUGACCAGCCACACUGGAACUGAGACACGGUCCAGACUCCUACGGGAGGCAGCAGUGGGGAAUAUUGCACAAUGGGCGCAAGCCUGAUGCAGCCAUGCCGCGUGUAUGAAGAAGGCCUUCGGGUUGUAAAGUACUUUCAGCGGGGAGGAAGGCGGUGAGGUUAAUAACCUUGCCGAUUGACGUUACCCGCAGAAGAAGCACCGGCUAACUCCGUGCCAGCAGCCGCAGUAA